CCAACACUGGGACUGAGACACUGCCCAGACUCCUACGGGAGGCUGCAGUCGAGAAUCUUUCGCAAUGGGCGAAAGCCUGACGAUGCGACGCCGUGUGAGCGAAGAAGGCCUUCGGGUGUAAAGCUCUUUCGCUAGGGAACAAGAAAGGCCGGCUAAUAUCCGGCUAAUUUGAGAGUACCUGGUAAAGAAGCACCGGCUAACUCC
rnacentral:rRNA from 1 species